rnacentral:rRNA from 1 species
GAUGAACGCUGGCGGCGUGCUUAACACAUGCAAGUCGAACGAUGAAGCCGGAGCUUGCUCUGGUGAAUUAGUGGCGAACGGGUGAGUAACACGUGAGUAAUCUGCCCUUGACUCUGGGAUAACUGCGGGAAACUGUAGCUAAUACCGGAUACGACCCUCGGAGGCAUCUCCCGGGGGUGGAAAGAAUUUCGGUCAAGGAUGGACUCGCGGCCUAUCAGCUAGUUGGUGAGGUAACGGCUCACCAAGGCGACGACGGGUAGCCGGCCUGAGAGGGUGACCGGCCACACUGGGACUGAGACACGGCCCAGACUCCUACGGGAGGCAGCAGUGGGGAAUAUUGCACAAUGGGCGCAAGCCUGAUGCAGCAACGCCGCGUGAGGGAUGACGGCCUUCGGGUUGUAAACCUCUUUUAGCAGGGAAGAAGCGAAAGUGACGGUACCUGCAGAAAAAGCACCGGCUAACUACGUGCCAGCCGCCGCAGUAA